CCCUAUGGGGUGCUCCGGAAGUUGGUCGAUACGCAACAAUUUGGGAUUUACCACCUUACCAACCAAGGGUGUUGUACCUGGAUGGAAUUUGCCGCCGAGAUUUUUCGCCAGGCGGCGAUGGCGGUAGAGUUAAAACCGGUGACUGCCGAGGAAUAUGGUGCUCCCGCCCGGCGUCCUCCCAAUUCCUGUUUGCACAAUCAAAAAAUUUCGAAGUUAGGAUGGGGACCGUUACGUCCCUGGCAAGAAGCGCUUCGGGAUGAUCUUCAACAAAGACAAAAGGCAUAACACAUCUUGUAACGUUGUUUUUAGAAAGUGGGCGCUAUGCAAAUUCUGUUCAUCGGGGAUGUUUUCGCGCGGUGGGGUCGAAAGAUCCUGAAAGAUAGACUGAAUUAUAUCAAAGAGGAGUAUCGAAUCGAUUUUUGUAUCGCCAAUGGCGAAAAUUCGGCGGGAGAGC
rnacentral:rRNA from 1 species